AGAGUUUGAUCCUGGCUCAGAAUGAAUGCUAGUUCUAGGCUUAUACACAUGCAAGUUGAAUGCUAUUUGAGGCUUGAGUUAAUCAAGUAAGAAGCAUGGCGUACGGGUGCAGAGGAGGUGAGAAUCUACCUUACUGUUCUGAAUAAUGAAAAAAAUACAGCAUAAAAUCUUUUGUACGGACGGACAGCCGCCGUUUAAUCUAGCCAACUAGUACAGAUACUCAGGGAUGACCUUUAUUUUGGUUGAAGCUUCCCACCGCCAUAGUAUAACCAAGAUGGAAAAAACUAAGCAAAAGAUUAAAGAUUUUAUCGCAGUAAGUCGAGCUUAUCAAGUAUUAAGGUAGUUGGGCGUAUAAGAGACCACCAAGCCGACGAUGCUUUGCGGGUCUGGAAGGACGAUCCGCCACACGGAGACUGAAAAACGGCUCUGACGCGUUAAUAGCGGCAGCAGUGAGGAAUAUUGGACAAUGGACGAAAGUUUGAUCCAGCCAUGGGACAUAGGGGACAGGAAAACUCGAUGAGGUUGUAAACCCAUUUUGCAAGCAAAGAUCAUGACAUUAGCUUGAGAAAAAAGUCCCGGCUAACUUCGUGCCAGCAGCCGCGGUAAUACGAAGGGGACAAGUGUUAUUCAGAUGAACUGGGCGUAAAGAGCUUUUAGGCGGUUACAGCAAAGUUAAAGGUAAAAUAUCGAAGGUGAACUUUGAAAUGUCCUUUAAAACAUGUAACUUUGAGUUUGAUUAGGGUAUGCACUACGGCUGUGAAAGUAAGGAUCAAAUCUUCUGAUUUUCCACGGAGUUCCAAAGGUGAAGACAGCAUUCCAAUAAAACUGACGCUAAAUGGCAAAGGCAUGGGUAUCGACUGGGAUUAGAUACCCCAUUAGUCCAUGCAGUGACUUAUGAGUGUUCGGCGCUACCUAGAUAUGGUAGCUCUUUUGUAGCUAACGCAUAAACACUCCGCCUGAGAAGUACGGCCGCAAGGUUAAAACUCAAAGGAAUUGACGGG
rnacentral:rRNA from 1 species